GCCUGGUGUCGUUGGGGUACUGGGUCGUGGCGCUCUACCGGAGCGACAAGGAGGCCGCCGCCGCGGCCGAGCGCGAGUUCGGCGACUCCUUCCGGGCCC
rnacentral:tRNA from 1 species